rnacentral:rRNA from 1 species
GACGAACGCUGGCGGCGUGCUUUACACAUGCAAGUCGAACGGUGAAGGUGGAGCUUGCUCCGCCGGAUCAGUGGCGAACGGGUGAGUAACACGUGGGCAACCUGCCCCUAACUUUGGGAUAACUACUCGAAAGAGUAGCUAAUACCGGAUAUGAAGUCUGUAGGCAUCUAUGGAUUUGGAAAGUUUUUCGGUUAGGGAUGGGCCCGCGGCCUAUCAGCUUGUUGGUGAGGUAGUGGCUCACCAAGGCGACGACGGGUAGCCGGCCUGAGAGGGCGACCGGCCACACUGGGACUGAGACACGGCCCAGACUCCUACGGGAGGCAGCAGUGGGGAAUAUUGCGCAAUGGGCGAAAGCCUGACGCAGCAACGCCGCGUGCGGGAUGAGGGCCUUCGGGUUGUAAACCGCUUUCAGCAGGGAAGAAGCGAAAGUGACGGUACCUGCAGAAGAAGCACCGGCUAACUACGUGCCAGCCGCCGCCGUAA